rnacentral:rRNA from 1 species
CUACGGGGCGCUCCAGUGGGGAAUAUUGCACAAUGGGGGAAACCCUGAUGCAGCAACGCCGCGUGGAGGAUGACGCAUUUCGGUGUGUAAACUCCUUUUAUAUAGGAAGAUAAUGACGGUACUAUAUGAAUAAGCACCGGCUAACUCCGUGCCAGCAGCCGCGGUAAUACGGAGGGUGCAAGCGUUACUCGGAAUCACUGGGCGUAAAGCGCGCGCAGGCGGCCUUUUAAGUUGGAUGUGAAAGCCUAUGGCUUAACCAUAGAACUGCAUCCAAAACUAUCAGGCUAGAGUCUGGGAGGGGAAGAUGGAAUUAGUUGUGUAGGGGUAAAAUCCGUAGAGAUAACUAGGAAUACCAAAAGCGAAGGCGAUCUUCUGGAACAGUACUGACGCCGAGGCGCGAAAGCGUAGGGAGCAAACAGGAUUAGAUACCCCGGUAGUC